rnacentral:rRNA from 1 species
GUAGGGAAUAUUGGGCAAUGGAGGCAACUCUGACCCAGCCAUGCCGCGUGCAGGAUGACGGCCCUCUGGGUUGUAAACUGCUUUUAUACGGGAAGAAAAAAUACUACGUGUAGUAUACUGACGGUACCGUAAGAAUAAGGAUCGGCUAACUCCGUGCCAGCAGCCGCGGUAAUACGGAGGAUCCAAGCGUUGUCCGGAUUUAUUGGGUUUAAAGGGUGCGUAGGCAGAUCUUUAAGUCAGUGGUGAAAGCCUGCAGCUUAACUGUAGAAUUGCCAUUGAAACUGAAGAUCUUGAAUGUGGUUAAAGUAGGCGGAAUGUACCAUGUAGCGGUGAAAUGCUUAGAUAUGAUACAGAACACCGAUAGCGAAGGCAGCUUGCUGAACCAUUAUUGACGCUGAGGCACGAAAGCGUGGGGAGCGAACAGGAUUAGAUACCCUAGUAGUCC